AAUAAAUAAAUCUUACAUUUUUUUUAAGCAGUUGGAGCCAUGAUGUACUGGUUAAGUUGCCACCUACAGUGCCACCCCUCUAUAUGGAUAUGAGUUCAAGUCCUGGUUGUCCCACUUCAUUCUGGCUGCCUGUUAAUGCUCCUGGGAAAGCAGCAGAGGGUGGGCUGUUUGCUAGGCUCACUACCACCCUUGUGGGAGAUCCACAGGAGGCUCUUGGCUGCUGGCUUUUUCUGGUCCAGACUCAGCUAUUUUCUGCUAUUUGGGGAGUGAGCCAGAGGAUGGAAGAUGUAUUUCUUCUCUCUCUCUGUUUCUUUGUCUUUCAAAGUAGUAUUUUAAUAGUAGUAUUUUAAUCAGAUUAAGCUAUGACUUAAUUUUGUUUAUCAAAAUUCUGCUUGCCUUGUUAUGUGAGUUUGUUGUGUUGCUAGUGGUCAGGUUACAUCAGUUUGCCUUGUCAAAGGACCAGCUAUCCCAGCUUGGGAAUUAGGUUGGUAGUUAUGACUUGGCUCCCUGUUCACAAGCCCGGGGGAUGAGCGUUCCUUAGCCUGGGGAGCAGUGGAGGCCUGUAGUGGCUGGUAGGUCUUCCCUUGGGUUAGAGAAAGGCAAGUUGAGAUAGUGCCUGGGUUUGGCACUCUAAGAGAAAUAACAGUGAUGGUACCUUACCUGUUUACUUUGUGAUUCUCUUGAUAUUUUAUUUAUUAAAAAAAAUUUUUUUAAAGCACAGGUGCUGGGAGCCAAAAUAUUAACAGUUUUGUAACCAAGAAAGGAGAACAUAUUUAAAGCUUUAAAUUAUUAAAAUUAUAGUUCAAAAUGUGUGAAAAAGUGUAGUAGGAUAUUGACACCAUGUUAAGUAUUAAUAUAUUCAGUAAAGAAAUUGGCAAAACUUUAUUCAUUGAUAAUUUUAAUAU